UCAAAGGAUCCUCUUGGAUCCACAAUAAUUUCUGGGAAACUGUG
rfam:Gallus gallus isolate RJF #256 breed Red Jungle fowl, inbred line TCD001 chromosome 5, whole genome shotgun sequence.